GUCUCUGGGGCGCAACCACAACCACUAGCGUCCUGGCAUCAGCAGUGUUGUGGCUCUUGUUGUCUUCUUAGUGCUGCAGUAACGAACAGCGGGGUCCUGGGGGUCACUAAGAGUGGGGUGCUAGAGUCUUGAACAGUGGGGUGCUAGAAACACGAACAGUGGUAUGCUAGAUUCACGAACAAUGAGGUGCUAAAGUUACGAAGAAUUGGGUGCUUGGGUCACCAAUAUCGGGGUACUAGCGUCACAAACAGGAGAAUACUAGGGUCAUGAACAUCGAGGUAAUAGGAUCACGAAUCCUGGGGUCGUGAACACUGGGGUAUUGGGCCACUAAUAAUGGGGUACUGAGAUCAUAAAUGAUGAGGUAUUAGGGUCACGAACAUCAGGGCACUUUGCUCACGUACAUUGGGUACUAAUAUCAAAGAGAGUCUGGUACUGGUGUCACAAACAAUGGAGUCCUGGAGUUACGAACAAUGGAGUAAUGAGGUCACGAACAUCGGGGUACCUUGAUCGCGAACAGUAGUUUACUAAGGUCAUUAACACUGGGGUAUUGGGGUCACGAAUAAAUAUGUACUUGGGUCACGAACAGUAGGGUACUGGGGACACGAAUACCGAGGUACUGGAGUCAUGAAUACCGAGGUAUGGGAGUCAUGAAUACCGAGGUACUGGAGUCAUGAAUACCGAGGUACUGGAGUCAUGAAUACCGAGGUACGGGAGUCAUGAAUACCGAGGUACUGGAGUCAUGAAUACCGAGGUACUGGAGUCAUGAAUACCGAGGUACUGGAGUCAUCAAUACCGAAGUACUGGAGUCAUCAAUACCGAGGUACUGGAGUCAUCAAUACCGAGGUACUGGAGUCAUGAAUACCGAGGUACUGGAGUCAUGAAUACCGAGGUACUGGAGUCAUGAAUACCGAGGUACUGGAGUCAUGAAUACCGAGGUACGGGAGUCAUGAAUACCGAGGUACUGGAGGCAUGAAUACCGAGGUACGGGAGUCAUGAAUACCGGGGUACUGGAGUCAUGAAUACCGAGGUACUGGAGUCAUCAAUACCGAAGUACUGGAGUCAUCAAUAACAAGCCAUAAUAACCUUCACCUGUCACUUUAGCCCAGCUCACCGCUCUCAUCAAUACCUUUGACUAGUUUUUUUCUUAAGCUUCAGUCGCUCAGGUGCCUCACUCUAUACGUCACCUUGGGUGAAAUAUCUAAUUAAAAUGUUUUCCCUACUAA